rnacentral:lncRNA from 1 species
UUUUUUGCAUUAAAUGAAUUAUUUUGCAGAGGUAUCUUUUAAUUAAAAACUACAGUGAUUUAAUUUAAAAAUUACAUUAUUUUAGCUUAGCAUUGUUUGUAUUAAAUGGUUUAUAACAUGAAAUACAGUCCUUCAAGUCUUCUGUUUCAUCUCUCUCUCUGACCACAAUUUCAUUUUUUUUCUCCAUUUCUUUAGAAAGGUGCAAAAUUCCUUAGUGAUGCUGAGAUCAUCCAGUUAGUCAAUGCUAAGCAUAUCCCAGCCUACAAGUUGGAAACUCUGAUGGAAACUCAUGAGCGUGGUGUAUCUAUUCGCCGACAGUUACUUUCCAAGAAGCUUUCAGAACCUUCUUCUCUCCAGUACCUACCUUACAGGGAUUAUAAUUACUCCUUGGUGAUGGGAGCUUGUUGUGAGAAUGUUAUUGGAUAUAUGCCCAUCCCUGUUGGAGUGGCAGGACCCCUUUGCUUAGAUGAAAAAGAAUUUCAGGUUCCAAUGGCAACAACA